GUGGAGAGUGAGAAAUCCUUACAGAAGAUCCACCUUGAGAAGUUGGACAGAGUAAGAAGGAUGUAGCUUCAGUGGUUGCAUUUAUAUUUGAAGAUCCAGUUUGAGGGACAUAGUAGGAUAAGAUAAUUGAACUAGCAAGUAGGUGCAUCCAUAUUCGAAGAUCCACUUUGGGGGACAGAGUAAAAUAUGAUGUAUUUGAGUAAAGUACCAUUGCAAGUGUAUAACCUACUGAGAGUUUGAUAUUCAUACGAUUAUUUG
rnacentral:lncRNA from 1 species